UUUCUUGAUCCCACAAUGAGUGACAGGAUAAGAAAACUUGUAGUUAUCUAACAGCAGUCUCAUUACAGGACAGUGAUCUCCCAGGUAUACUUCGUCACUUCUAAUUUCCGUUUCGUUAUUAGAGAGCCUUCUCAUUCUAACAACCAAUCUUCAGAACACAUUUAAGUUAUUGUUGAGUCGAAUCCAGAAGAAUUCCAAAACAACGAAGAAAGGAGGAAGGAGCUGCCUAAGAGCACAGAGGUCUUCAUCAUGUUGGACUCCAAGACAAAAGACCCACAAGGAACAGGAAAUGGCAAGGACCAACAUAGGCUAUCAGAGAAGUCCUUAUGCUAACAUGGAAGACCCAAAGGAUUGAAGCAGCCUGGAUAACUCAGUCACCACACAGAGGACAACUACCCAAGAGAGCUGCCUUGACACACAAAAGAAAUUUCGUGAGAGAGAAAUACAUUUUUGUUAUGUUAA